rnacentral:snRNA from 1 species
GGAAAAACGGUCUAUUUCCCCA